GUUAAUUAGCCAAACAUCACUCACAAAAGUGAUUUAGCGACAACGCUGUAAUAAAACUGUCCUCCAUUACUAUGAACUUUGUGGAAACAUGAAGGAGCAUCUCACUAUAAGAGAAGUGUCUGUUUUUAGAGCUGCCCCCAAACCCCGUCCCGACCGCUUCUGCUCUACGUACAAAAUGCUAAAAUCUAGGAUUCUGUUAACCUGCAGCGGUGACGCCAAGCUCUCCUGCAACCGUUCCGACGGCGAGUCCCAUUAUUGUCAUUUUUAAAAACAUUAAUAUCAUGACCUGGGUUUGAGUAACAACACGUUUUCACAGAAACCACAGACACAAGUUUCCUGAUGUCGGGGGGAAGCCUGAUUCAGGUAAAAAGACGAAGGCCCCCCCCUUCCCUUUGCUGGACAGACUAAAAAACACUAAACAUCGACAAAGCCGCUGGACUGAACAAAAUCAAGUAAACCAAACAAUCAACUUAGUAAACAUGCAUUUCCAAAACAUCUAUAAAAAUAGAUUUUAUAGUGAGAAAUAUUUUUUUCAUCUCUUUAGAAAUCUUUAAAAUUGUUUAUUGUCCUGAAAUACUACCGUCAUCUUUUUUUUUUAUUUCCUGUGAGUUGCAGGGUCCUUGAAGUCAACAGGCUUGGUGGAAACCAAUGAAAUACACCCAAUGCACAAGACAAGCACAAGGGACUCUGGGAAUGUUUCACAUCUGAGGCUUUUAAGGUUCCAGUCUACUAAAUGCUACUUCCAUUUUUUUAUUCCUCAUCACAUUUGAGCUGGAAACUGCAAUCCCAGAAUUCCUCAGUGGCAAAAAAUGGCUCCUUAAACCUUUGAGCUAGUUUAGAGUCUUUUAUCUCUGAGAAGAGAGAGGUCUGUAGACUACACGACAGCAAAGCAAUAGCAGAAACAGAAAAAAGUAAUACAUACAAAAAGGAAGCAGCAAAAAAGGUGACACUACAUUGGAAGGCCACCACACAAAAUCCACUAACCUCCACUGGUUCACUAAGACUGCAAGGGGGCUGGAAGGAGAACAAAUGUUUCCCCGUCCAAGCCCGGACUAGCACAGAGAGGACAAAGGAC
rnacentral:lncRNA from 1 species